UGGGGAAUUUUGGACAAUGGGCGAAAGCCUGAUCCAGCAAUGCCGCGUGUGUGAAGAAGGCCUUCGGGUUGUAAAGCACUUUUGUCCGGAAAGAAAUCCUUGGCUCUAAUACAGUCGGGGGAUGACGGUACCGGAAGAAUAAGCACCGGCUAACUACGUGCCAGCAGCCGCGGUAAUACGUAGGGUGCAAGCGUUAAUCGGAAUUACUGGGCGUAAAGCGUGCGCAGGCGGUUUGCUAAGACCGAUGUGAAAUCCCCGGGCUCAACCUGGGAACUGCAUUGGUGACUGGCAGGCUAGAGUAUGGCAGAGGGGGGUAGAAUUCCACGUGUAGCAGUGAAAUGCGUAGAGAUGUGGAGGAAUACCGAUGGCGAAGGCAGCCCCCUGGGCCAAUACUGACGCUCAUGCACGAAAGCGUGGGGGAGCAAACAGGAUUAGAUACCCUGGUAGUCCACGCCCUAAACGAUGUCAACUAGUUGUUGGGGAUUCAUUUCCUUAGUAACGUAGCUAACGCGUGAAGUUGACCGCCU
rnacentral:rRNA from 1 species